GCCAGCAGCCGCGGUAAUUCCAGCUCAAUAGCGUAUAUUAAAGUUGUUGCAGUUAAAAGGCUCGUAGUUGAAUUUCGGGGUCUAUCCGUCGGUCGGGCUUUUUGGUCUGUACUGGCGUGAUGGAUUCCUACCUUCUGAAUAACCGGCAUGCCAUUAAUUUGGUGCGCUGGGGAAGCAGGACUGUUACCUUGAAAAAAUUAGAGUGCUUAAAGCAGGCUUGCGCCUGAAUACAUUAGCAUGGAAUAAUGAAAUAGGACGGCUUGGUUCUAUUUUAGUUGGUUUCUAGGGAUCACCCGUAAUGAUUAAUAGGGAUAGUUGGGGGCAUUAGUAUUCAAUUGUCAGAGGUGAAAUUCUUGGAUUUAUUGAAGACUAACUACUGCGAAAGCAUUUGCCAAGGAUGUUUUCAUUAAUCAAGAACGAAAGUUAGGGGAUCGAAGACGAUCAGAUACCGUCGUAGUCUUAACCAUAAACUAUGCCGACUAGGGAUCGGAUGAUGUUAAUUUUUUAAUGACUCAUUCGGCGCCUUACG
rnacentral:rRNA from 1 species